GCGGCGCAGACGGGGACGCGCCCCGAGAAGAUCCGCAUCCAGAAGUGGUACAACAUCUACAAGGACCACAUCACCCUCAAGGACUACGAGAUCCACGACGGCAUGGGCCUCGAGCUCUACUACAACUAGCUGCCCUGACUCCACAUGCCUUUGUUAUCAGGUACGAAUCCCUCCCGGAUUCGGAGCUGUUCCUCUUCGUUCCUGCGCGCGUGACUUGGUUUUCGUUUGGCAUGCUAUAGAUUGUCGGUUGAUCGCUGGGAGUAGCUUAGCUGAGUGAUUUUUUUUUUUAAAAAAAACUUGGGUGCGGCAUAUGCUCAUUUCAGUUCGUUCUCCUGAUUUAGUUAUUACCUGGAUGUCCGAUUGAUUAGGAGGGUUUCUUUUGCAGGCCUGACUUAUUAAUUCGCUUAGUUGUGAUUUCCUAUGAUUGAUGGAUAGGGUAAUUUAGAGGGUUAGUUUUUCAGUAGCUGUAGUUGUAGAAUUGUCAGCUGUGCACAUGACUGUAAUUUGCUACUCUGAAUCUCAAAUUGGAUACCUGUAACGGCAAAUGUUUGGUGAUUGAGACCAAGUAACCUGUUAUGUCAAAGUUCAGUAAGGGUUCUGCAGCUGUUUCCUGCCAUAUUCGCUUAUCCAAUUUGACUCUGGUCUCCAUGUCCAGUUGAAUUCAUGAAACCUAUGAGGAGCUGAGGCUUGGUCAACUAGAGGUUGGCGAACAGUGUCUAAUGCUUGGCUGUCCUUGAAACAUUUAAUCCUGGUUUUAGUUAUUUUGCUGGUAGCUACAAGGUAUUUGCAGAUCAUUUUACAACUAUUGCAGCGUUUUGCUGAAAUUUUCUUAAGUCAUGCUAUGCCCAUUUUGGUUAUAAUUAUUGUUGGUGUCUUAAUUGUCCUCUUGUUAUGCUUGACAUACUUUUUUUGGUGUUUAGUUUAGUGGUGUUUUGCUUAUAGUUUCUUAGAAACGUGAUUGAUUCACUUUUUCAUUGUUAUCGUACUCAAUAGUUGUUUUUUUAUGUGUCCAAAGCUGUUAACCCAGCAUGAAAUUUUAAUUGAUCAAUUGAUGCUUGCUACUUGUUUAAACCAUGAAACUAUGAGACGGCUUAUUUAUGGAGACACAAUGUCGAUGUGAUACAAUUCAGUAUUUGUUAUCUUGAGUGUUUUGAUCGUAUAACACUUAGCAAUUGCCAAAUAUUUGAUCGCUUAAUGUGCUGAAGCUUUUACACUUACAGUUUAGUCUAUAAUCUCUGCUUAGUUUUUUUUCCCUGAAUGGUCUGCUUUGAACGUAAUGAUUUAGGCUUAACUUUGAGAGGUUUGAGUGAGUCUUUGUUAGUGGUGGUUGUGGUUUCUUGGCUACGUGGAAUGUUAUCCAAUUCAAAUGUCUUGGCAUCCGAACUUUGUUUUAUUGCCUGAAUUUUUGGAGCGAGCAGAAUUAGUAACCAAAAACAUGACAUUUAGUGACAAAGUCUAAUAAGUGAAAGUAGUUCCUAUGGUGGAUUACCAAAAACCUUGAUUACCAAAUCAUGCCUUGUUGGAUAUUGUAGUUCCUAUGGUGGCUUAUUUUAUAUGCACGAAGUGAAAGUAAAAACUGGAAACCUGAAUGAUUAUCGGGAGAACAUCUGUUUACACGAUUCUAUUCUAGCGUUAGAAUCUAGAUUAGCUUCUAACAGUCGUUUAGUUUCAGUGACUGACAUUGACUAUUUCGUUAGAUUAUCAUAACCUAUUUUCUAUUGAGCUGUUGUCCAAUUAUCAGUUGUUGUUUUGGCAACAUUUUAUGUGUUGGAAUGAAACGAAAUUGGAAUGAAACGAAAGGUGGAUGGAGUAAUUUGACAAGGGAGACGUGAACCAUAAGGAUUUGAUCGUCCCAUCGUUUGUUCCUUUCAGUUCUGAUGAUAUGGGUCGAACCAAUGUGGUGUGCUUAGCAACCCACAUGUGCCAAUAAUAGCUUAUUCAUGCUUGAACAUGGAGGUGAUGGUGUCCUACUGUCUUGUUCUUAGCAGAAGAAAUGUGGCUGCCAUGACUUGAUUUGUCAGCACUUGGGCCUCUUUAGAGAUCACAUUUUACUUUUUCAUCGAGCAAUGCAGCUUAUUGUGAACUGAAGUUUGGAAAAUUAUUUACAACUUGGAGCAAUGCAUCAGAUCUCAAAAUAUUGCAAAGUUUUUUUAUAAGUUCAAUGCUGGCUCUAUUGUUCUAGCCAAAUAUUUGCCCUGUGGGCUUGAUCAUUUUAGAUUACUGGCAAGUUUGUUUAUGCUUGAAUUUGAGGAGUCCACAAUGAAGUUGUAGAUUUCCCUGAUAUUAACAUGCGACCAUGUGCUUGUGCGCCUUUUUUUUCUAGAAUAAUUCAAUUUGGCGUUUCUGUUUAUGUUUUUCUUUGACAUAUUCCUUCUCCACUAACAAAGGCUCAAUUCCCAUGCAGGUUGAUCUGAAUUCUGAAGCCAUGGGUGCAAUUCCAGUCGCAGCCUCCUAAGUUCAUACAUAUAAGCAACCUGAGUGAGCUAUGCGAGACAUGGUUGUGCCAAACUAUCAAUGACUAUUGACAGAUUCGCAUAUGUUGCUGUGUGAUCAACCUGCAAACUUGGUGUGCUGCUACUCGU
rnacentral:lncRNA from 1 species